UGGGGAAUAUUGGACAAUGGGCGCAAGCCUGAUCCAGCCAUGCCGCGUGAGUGAUGAAGGCCCUAGGGUUGUAAAGCUCUUUCACCGGUGAAGAUAAUGACGGUAACCGGAGAAGAAGCCCCGGCUAACUUCGUGCCAGCAGCCGCGGUAAUACGAAGGGGGCUAGCGUUGUUCGGAUUUACUGGGCGUAAAGCGCACGUAGGCGGACUUUUAAGUCAGGGGUGAAAUCCCGGGGCUCAACCCCGGAACUGCCUUUGAUGCUGGAAGUCUUGAGUAUGGUAGAGGUGAGUGGAAUUCCGAGUGUAGAGGUGAAAUUCGUAGAUAUUCGGAGGAACACCAGUGGCGAAGGCGGCUCACUGGACCAUUACUGACGCUGAGGUGCGAAAGCGUGGGGAGCAAACAGG
rnacentral:rRNA from 1 species